rnacentral:misc_RNA from 1 species
ACACCUCAACUCUUCAUGGUUUUCCAUGAUGAGCUUGGACUUUGGGGGGUUUUGCUGGCCUACAAUCAGCUCCCCUAAAAUAAAUCAGCUUGCCAGUGUUUGGUGGGUAUCACAGGUGUGAUAACUAUCUACGCUUGUGGUUUUUCCACCGGUAACCUUCAGCAGUGGAGGUUCACUGGAGCUCACAGAUGUCUCUCCUCAGUGAGGACAGCCCUUUGAAU